AGGGCGGUGGCGACGGCCGCGUCGUGGGUGUCGUCCGCGCCGACGGGGGCGGUGCGUUCGGCGCGCACCCGCCCCA
rnacentral:tRNA from 1 species